UACGUAGGGUGCAAGCGUUAAUCGGAAUUACUGGGCGUAAAGCGUGCGCAGGCGGUUUUGUAAGUCAGAUGUGAAAUCCCCGGGCUUAACCUGGGAACUGCAUUGGUGACUGCAAGGCUUGAGUGUGUCAGAGGGAGGUGGAAUUCCGCGUGUAGCAGUGAAAUGCGUAGAUAUGCGGAGGAACACCGAUGGCGAAGGCAGCCUCCUGGGAUAACACUGACGCUCAUGCACGAAAGCGUGGGGAGCAAACAGG
rnacentral:rRNA from 1 species